rnacentral:tRNA from 3 species
GUCCCUAUAGCUCAAUUGGAUAGAGCGCCGCGCUUCGGACGCGGAGGUUCGAGGUCCGAGUCCUCGUAGGGACGCUA